rnacentral:rRNA from 1 species
GACGAACGCUGGCGGCGUGCUUAACACAUGCAAGUCGAACGGAAAGGCCCUGCUUGCAGGGUGCUCGAGUGGCGAACGGGUGAGUAACACGUGGGUGAUCUGCCCCUUAUUUUGGGAUAAGCCUGGGAAACUGGGUCUAAUACUGGAUAGGACCAUGCUGUAGGUGGUGUGGUGGAAAGAUUAGUUUCGGUAAGGGAUGAGCUCGCGGCCUAUCAGCUUGUUGGUGGGGUAAUGGCCUACCAAGGCGUCGACGGGUAGCCGGCCUGAGAGGGUGGACGGCCACAUUGGGACUGAGAUACGGCCCAGACUCCUACGGGAGGCAGCAGUGGGGAAUAUUGCACAAUGGGCGCAAGCCUGAUGCAGCGACGCCGCGUGGGGGAUGACGGCCUUCGGGUUGUAAACUCCUUCCAGCCAUGACGAAGCCCUUGUGGUGACGGUAGUGGUAGAAGAAGCACCGGCUAACUACGUG